GUUACUGUAGAAUAUAGAGGUCAUAACAGGGUUACUGUAGAAUAUAGAGGUCAUAACAGGGUUACUGUAGAAUAUAGAGGUCAUAACAGGGUUACUGUAGAAUAUAGAGGUCAUAACAGGGUUACUGUAGAAUAUAGAGGUCAUAACAGGGUUACUGUAGAAUAUAGAGGUCAUAACAGGGUUACUGUAGAAUAUAGAGGUCAUAACAGGGUUACUGUAGAAUAUAGAGGUCAUAACAGGGUUACUGUAGAAUAUAGAGGUCAUAACAGGGUUACUGUAGAAUAUAGAGGUCAUAACAGGGUUACUGUAGAAUAUAGAGGUCAUAACAGGGUUACUGUAGAAUAUAGAGGUCAUAACAGGGUGACUGUAGAAUAUAGAGGUCAUAACAGGGUGACUGUAGAAUAUAGAGGUCAUAACAGGGUGACUGUAGAAUAUAGAGGUCAUAACAGGGUGACUGUAG